rnacentral:rRNA from 1 species
UACAGAGGGGGCCAGCGUUAUUCGGAAUUAUUGGGCGUAAAGGGCUCGUAGGCGGCUUUGCGUGUCUUUCGUGAAAUCCCUCGGCUCAACUGAGGACGUGCGGAAGAAACUGCAGGGCUGGAGUCCGGGAGAGGAGGGCGGAAUUCCCAGUGUAGCGGUGAAAUGCGUAGAUAUUGGGAGGAGCACCGGUGGCGAAGGCGGCCCUCUGGACCGGUACUGACGCUGAUGCGCGAAAGCGUGGGGAGCAAACGGG